rnacentral:rRNA from 1 species
CAGAGGGGGCAAGCGUUGUUCGGAAUUACUGGGCGUAAAGGGCGCGUAGGCGGCCUGCUAAGUCGAACGUGAAAUCCCUGGGCUCAACCCAGGAACUGCGUCCGAUACUGGUUGGCUUGAAUCCGGGAGAGGGAUGUGGAAUUCCAGGUGUAGCGGUGAAAUGCGUAGAUAUCUGGAGGAACACCGGUGGCGGAGGCGACAUCCUGGACCGGCAUUGACGCUGAGGCGCGAAAGCCAGGGGAGCAAACGGGAUUAGAUACCCCGGUAGUCCUGGCCCUAAACGAUGAAUGCUUGGUGUGGUGGGUAUCGAUCCCUACCGUGCCGAAGCUAACGCAUUAAGCAUUCCGCCUGGGGAGUACGGUCGCAAGGCUG